rnacentral:piRNA from 1 species
UAUCAGUGAAAGAGGCAAGGUCUGCA